UCAUACGUGUGCUCUUACGAUUCACACCGUUCAAAUUUAACAUUACACUUAGUGUGAUUUUCACACCGUCCGUGUUAAAAAUUUUAACACCGAAUCAUUUACACUAC